UACGUAGGGUGCGAGCGUUGUCCGGAUUUAUUGGGCGUAAAGGGCUCGUAGGCGGCGUGUCGCGUCGGGAGUGAAAGCCCGUUGCUUAACGGCGGGUUGGCUUUCGGUACGGGCAUGCUGGAGUGCGGCAGGGGAGACUGGAAUUCCUGGUGUAGCGGUGAAAUGCGCAGAUAUCAGGAGGAACACCAAUGGCGAAGGCAGCUCGCUGGGACGUGACUGACGCUGAGACGCGAAAGCGUGGGGAGCAAACAGG
rnacentral:rRNA from 1 species